GUCCCCGUGCUGUAGUGGUUAGCAUGACCGUCUAGCAAACGCGAGAUAUUAGGUUCGAUUCUUUACCGGGACA
rnacentral:tRNA from 1 species